CUGUCGUCAUUUGGACAUUAAAUCAAGCGGUCAACCCUUUAUAUGCUUCUACUUCCCUAAGGGGAGCUUAAUCACAAAGAUAUCGGGUUUUAGAAAAGGUGCUCGAGAAUAUUUUCUGAAAAUUUUCACUAGUGAAAUCCUCGAUUUAAGGAUUGGAUAAUAAAGUACGCGACACGACGAGUUCAUUGGAAUUUUUGGGGAAUUUUCCGGACUUUCAAGCUAUUUUUGGUGAUUUUUGGAAGUUUCAGAUUAAAGAAAAAUAUUUUGGAAAAGCAGAGAUCAACGUGGCGCGAUCCUAGCCAUCCUUAAAUCCACCGACUGAUCACAGCCAUCGAAUAUUAUUUGAAAAAGCCAUAAGUAGGCAUGUAAUCAGAUGAUCCAUCCAGAAGGAUCGAGAGAGAGAACCAGAGUUCUCUGACCUGACGCUACCCGGAGACCCGCAAAGAGGAUCCGACUGGCGCUACUCCGUCCGGCCACAGCACAGCGGCGGACCACUGGAAUUCUCUCCUCCUCGCCAUCGCCGUCACGCCCGUGGCCUCUGAUUGUCCAUGCAUUGAACGAAGAAGGAGAAUCGAAGACCCGAAGCUCCGAGUCUCCUCCGGCGAGUUUCAACGAAUUCCGGCGACUACGGUCACCGAUUAAGCUGCAUGUGGCUAACAAUCGAAAAGAUUUCUGGUUGUUGGCAUCACACUCACCAGCUCAUCUUCGGCAGUGACACAGCUGGGAAAUUGGGUUUUCGUCAUCUCCGAGCAUGGAAGACGUUCUCCUAAAGAGGGCGCGCGGGUGAAUAUUUUACGUGAAAUUCGUCCCGAGUAUUUGGGCUGCUGUUCAGGCGAGUCUUUGAGUCCUUAUUUACUAUUUUCUGCAAUGAAGAUAAAUACAGCUGCGUCACUUCCACAACCCAGACUAACUUUAAUAAGGUCCAUGAGACCAUUAACUCACAGCGGAUGUUAUGGCAUCCAAAUUCGGCACUUUGGCCGCCUGAAGAGGAGUCUUAAAUCCCAACUUUGGUAUUGACACAUCACCCACACCAUCAAUCAACAAAAAUGCCACUCUUCUUUUUAGCUGCUGGGGACGCCGCAUGUAUCUGGGUUUUCAAGAAAAAUGGAAUCUUUUGCUUUUUUUGGUCUCCUCCUUUGUUUGCAACACAGUUUUGUUUCAAAGCAGAGUCACUGGAGCAUCUCACACUUUUGAAAGGCUUCAGUGGCGAUCCUUGUUUGGACCUAGAAAGAGAGAAUUGCUUUUGGAACUGGGCUUGUGGUUUAAGAAUUUGCUAAUCGAUUACAGAGGAAUUGGCUAUGACUGAAGCUCUCUAUCUUUAUAUCUCCACUGUAUUUAUUCUGCAUAAAGGUUCAAACUUGAAAGCAGAGGAGGAUUGAUUCUCAGUACCCAAUCGCAUUACGAUUUUAGAAGCCAUGGAAGUGAAACUUUGUGACAGAUGAACUCACCAACAACAAGAGCGAAACGAUGACGACGACCUCCGGUGACCGAGAUGGAGGUGGGUUUUCAGAUCAGAGGGAGUAAUUUAUUCUCCUUGUUUCGGAGCUCUGAUGGUCUUUGCCUCUUUGGGAUCUCGAAGUGAGAAUGGGAUUGAGAAUUGAGCGCAGAAAGAGAUGGACAAGGCACGUGACUACCAUUCUGUGGGAAUUGUCUUAAACGCCCUCAAGAAAUUACUGUGACGGAGUCAGUUUUUACUGAUAACGGUAGUUAAGUAGGCAAUUACAUCAAUGACCUUUGACUUCAAAACGUAUGGACAUGAUUGAACCACGACUGCUGGGCCCACGAGGGCGCACCCUACGUAGGGUAGGGCGUAUUCCAGCCGCUCCCUUUUGUCAGUUGCAUAGUAUUAUUGUUCCAAGUCAAAAUCAUCUUUUCCAGCUGUUGAUACUAAAAGAGUUCAUUGCUUGUUUUGUACGUAUUGUCAAAAUGUCAAUUAUUGAUAUCUCCUUACCAUGGAAGGACCAUCAAAACCAUCUUUUUCAUCCCCC